CUCUACCUGGUGCGCAGGUGAGCAUGACCUCUACCUGGUGCGCACGACCUCUACCUGGUGCGCAGGUGAGCACGACCUCUACCUGGUGCGCAGGUAAGCACGACCUCUACCUGGUGCGCAGGUGAGCAUGACCUCUACCUGGUGCGCACGACCUCUACCUGGUGCGCAGGUGAGCACGACCUCUACCUGGUGCGCAGGUGAGCAUGACCUCUACCUGGUGCGCACUACCUCUACCUGGUGCGCAGGUGAGCACGACCUCUACCUGGUGCGCAGGUGAGCACGACCUCUACCUGGUGCGCAGGUGAGCAUGACCUCUACCUGGUGCGCACGACCUCUACUUGGUGCAAAGGUGAGCACGACCUCUACCUGGUGCGCACGACCUCUACUUGGUGCAAAGGUGAGCACGACCUCUACCUGGUGCGCACAACCUCUACCUGGUGCGCAGGUGAGCACGACCUCUACCUGGUGCGUAGGUGAGCACAACCUCUACCUGGUGCGCAGGUGAGCACGACCUCUACCUGGUGCGCAGGUGAGCACGACCUCUACCGCUACACGCUACCUGUCAUGUGUGUUAGCAGCAUUGCACAUUUAGAAACAGAGGAUAAGCAUGUAGUGUGUGUGUGUGAGUGUGUGUGUGUGUGUGUGUGCAAGCUGGAGAUGCCGAUGCAAAUAAAAUAUGUUGGUGUAUGUGUGUG